UGGACCAGACAUAACUACCAUACUAUCUACUACACUGACUGGAGGAGGUAGACUGGACCAGACAUAACUACCAUACUAUCUACUACACUGACUGGAGGAGGUAGACUGGACCAGACAUAACUACCAUACUAUCUACUACACUGACUGGAGGAGGUAGACUGGACCAGACAUAACUACCAUACUAUCUACUACACUGACUGGAGGAGGUAGACUGGACCAGACAUAACUACCAUACUAUCUACUACACUGACUGGAGGAGGUAGACUGGACCAGACAUAACUACCAUACUAUCUACUACACUGACUGGUGGAGGUAGACUGGACCAGACAUAAC